GGUUUGUGACUGUAAAUCCUCCCUUGAAAGACUUUGUUGGAUGCAAAUGAGAAGAAUUCACAGUAAAUCAAUAAAAGGGAUUUUGGUCAGGACAAGGAGGGUGCUUCAUGCUCUUGGGCAGUCUAGGUCAGAACGCCUUCUGACAAGCAAAGUCGGUGACACACGAGAGUCACUUAAAAGCCUUGUAACUAAUUUAACAACUGUAGUGAUUCACUUAACAAAUGCGGCAAGAAAGGCAUUAAAACGGAGCAAAAUUCACUUAACAACUGUCUCUUAGCACCAGAAAUGUCACUUUAAUUGUGGUCUUACCUCGAGGACUACCCGUAUAGAUUUUUUACCCUUGUGUUUGAAGCUUGAUCAUAUGGCAGUGAAUGGAGCAUCAUGGACCAUGUACACUCAUCACUUUGUGAGUUAUGAACGAGGAAUUUUUUUCUGUCAUUGAUGGCCACUGUAACUCUGUUUCUGAAUAACCUAUAAAGCACAGAUUUGGAUUGCAUUAAAAUACUCCGAGCGAUAAAAUGAAAAUAGAGAUGGAACGAUGGAAACAGCAGGAGAAUGAAAGUUAUGGAUAAUUAUAGAAUGUUACUGGGAAAGCAUGGAAAAACCGUGAACCCUGUCGAUGAAGCAAAGAUGACACCUUUCAUUGAUUUAUGCAUAGAUUAGUCACCAGAUGAAAACAGAAGAGCAGAUGGAAAGCCACCGUGAAGUUGAACUGAAGAUCUACAAGCAACUUUAGCUUCCUUCAAAAGCUGGGCAAACUUCCAUUAUCCAGUAUUUUCAAGGUUCUCUAUGAAUAUCCAUGAUUUUCUUUACAGUUUUGGGUAAAGGACAUAAAUGGGUUGUUACAAAUAGUUGUUGUUUUUUUCUCCUUGUAACUUUGAUGAAUAAAGUUUUCACUUAUUUUUUUUAUAA